GCUGCAGCUGUUCACGGCCGGCGCGGGUCCCCUGCCGCUGCCGCCCACCCACCUCCGUCGCCCCUGAUAUUGCCAGUCCGCCGAGAUGUGCGGUCUGGUCGCGUUUCACGCUUGCAGCCAGCCCAGACGUCAGCGUCGCGGGCUCCGCUGUUGUCGCCCACCUGCCACCGCGCUGCCCACAGGCGCCGCCCAACGUUCGCCGCUGGUCAGCUUCCCGCUGCCGUCUCCGUUUGGGUCCUGGCAUCAACGCCCGGGCGCGUACUUCCGCCGCCGUGCAGGCAGCCGCCCUGCCGCCACCGUCUCUUCUGUACUAUUCAUAGACCCAGGGGACAGCACAGCCACAGCAGCUGCCAGAGGGUGUCAACACAAUGCCGCAGGAUGACCUCGUGGAGAUGGAGCCUCCACCUCCUCUGUCUCCUCUUGUCCUACUGAAGGACCUGGACCUGCCCAUGCUGCAGCAGCUGAUGCCUUCUACAUCAUGAUAUGGGCCUCAGUUGGUGGACACAUACCCUUUUGGGCAUUUUCUGGGGGAUCAGAGCUAAGGUCAGAUGGGGGAGCGACCAGAAGUCUGACUCCCCUCCAGCCACAGCUUGUGGUCCAUCAGAGCAUCGAUGCGCUUGGCUCCCUCCCCCGCCCCCCCCUCCCCCACUGUCAUGCUCCUAUAUGAUGAUAGUCCAUUGUUUUGAGGGGGAGGAAUGUUACAGUGUAAAGUCAAGUGUCAACACGUCAGUUGGGAAUGAAAGAGAAGAGAAGGCUGUGAGGAGAGGUCAGCCAAUCAUCACACACUGAUCGACCUCUCUUCCAGGACAACAAUGGGACAGCACCAGCCCCGAUGCGAAGGCAAUGUAUGUGCUGCACCCAACUCAUGGAGGCCACUUGGAUCGCAGCAUCUAUGCUAGGCACUUCAAUAGCAUUUCAUGAAAGACUUUUGUCAGUUAGAGAGCUGCAGUCACUCCAAAGACUGAUUAUUUCAUAUGUCACCCUUUUCUUGUGACACAUCUGUAUAAUUGCCAAAGUUAAGUAUCUGUAAUUGUCUUUUUGUAAUGAAACUCAUUAAUAAAAGCUGUGUGAUUGCUCAGCAAA